rnacentral:rRNA from 1 species
UACGAAGGAUGCAAGCGUUAUCCGGAUUCAUUGGGUUUAAAGGGUGCGUAGGCGGCCCUGUAAGUCAGUGCUGAAAUAUCCCGGCUUAACCGGGAGGGUGGCAUUGAUACUGCGGGGCUAGAGUACAGAUGAGGUAGGCGGAAUUGACGGUGUAGCGGUGAAAUGCUUAGAUAUCGUCAAGAACACCUAUAGCGAAGGCAGCUUACUAGGCUGUAACUGACGCUGAGGCACGAAAGUGUGGGGAUCAAACAGG